rnacentral:rRNA from 1 species
AAACUAACAAGGAUUCCCCUAGUAACGGCGAGUGAAGCGGGAAGAGCUCAAAUUUAAAAUCUGGCAGGCUACGCUUGUCCGAAUUGUAAUCUCGAGAAGUGUUUUCCGCGUUGGCCUGUGUACAAGUCCCUUGGAACAGGGCGUCAUAGAGGGUGAGAAUCCCGUCCUUGACACAGACACCCAAUGCUUUGUGAUACACUCUCAAUGAGUCGAGUUGUUUGGGAAUGCAGCUCAAAAUGGGUGGUAAAUUCCAUCUAAAGCUAAAUACUGGCGAGAGACCGAUAGCGAACAAGUACCGUGAGGGAAAGAUGAAAAGCACUUUGGAAAGAGAGUCAAACAGUACGUGAAAUUGUUGAAAGGGAAACGAUUGAAGUCAGUCGUGCCUGCCUAGAUUCAGCCUUCUGGUGUAUUUCUAGGUCGGCAGGUCAGCAUCAGUUUGGGGGGGUUAACAAGGGAGCUGGGAAUGUGGCAACCUCGGUUGUGUUAUAGCCCAGUUUCGCAUUGAUCUCGCUGGACUGAGGAACGCAGUGCGCCCGCAAGGGUUGGUCUUCGGACACAUCGCACUAGGAUGCUGC